CACGAACGCUGGCGGCAGGCUUAACACAUGCAAGUCGAGCGCCCCGCAAGGGGAGCGGCAGACGGGUGAGUAACGCGUGGGAAUCUACCCAUCUCUACGGAAUAACGCAUGGAAACGUGUGCCAAUACCGUAUACGUCCUUCGGGAGAAAGAUUUAUCGGAGAUGGAUGAGCCCGCGGUGGAUUAGCUAGUUGGUGGGGUAAAGGCCUACCAAGGCGUCGAUCAAGAGCUGGUCUGAGAGGAUGAUCAUCCACACUGGGCCUGAGACACGGCCCAGACGCCUACGGGAGGCAGCAGGGGGGAAUAUUGGACAAUGGGCGCAAGCCUGAUCCAGCCAUGCCGCGUGAGGGAUGAAGGCCCUAGGGUUGUAAAGCUCUUUCACCGGUGAAGAUAAUGACGGUAACCGGAGAAGAAGCCCCGGCUAACUUCGUGCCAGCCGCCGCCGUAAGAC
rnacentral:rRNA from 1 species